rnacentral:rRNA from 1 species
CGUGUAGGCGGUUUGGCAAGUCGAGCGUGAAAUCCCACGGCUCAACCGUGGAACUGCGCUCGAAACUGCCUUACUUGAGUGCGGGAGAGGUGUGCGGAAUUCCUGGUGUAGCGGUGGAAUGCGUAGAUAUCAGGAAGAACACCGGUGGCGAAGGCGGCACACUGGCCCAGCACUGACGCUGAGGCGCGAAAGCGUGGGGAGCGAACG